rnacentral:lncRNA from 1 species
UCAAACGCCUGACCUCAAGUGAUCCACCAUCUCAGCCUCCUCCCAAAGUGCUAGGAUUACCGGGUGUGAGCCAUCAGGCCCAGCCUCAAAAUCUGGGUUUCCUAAAACAACAUAAAUUUAUUCUGUCACUGUUCUGGAGGUUAGAAGUCCAAAAUCAAGGUGUUGGCAGGGCCCUGCUCUCUUUUUCGGCUCUAAGGGAGAACACUUCCUUGCCUCUUCUAAUGUCUGCAUUUGUCAGCCAUCCUUGGUGCUCCCGGCUUGCAGAUGGGAUACUCCAGUCACUGGGUGCCGCUUCCCUGUGUCAUAUUGUCUUCCCUCUGUGUCCAAAUUUCCCCUUUGAAUAAGGACACCAGUCGUAGUGGAAUAGGGCCCACCCUAAGGACCUCAUUUUAACUUGAUUAUCUCUAUAAAGACCCUGUUUCCAGUAAGGUCACAUUUCUGAGGUACAGGGGUUUGGGGCUUCAACAUAUCUGGUUUAAGGGUGGUGCACAGUUCCACCUGACACUACCUCAGGGCUCAUAUGGUCCCUUACCCUAUUAUAAAGACUUCCUCCUGGUGUAGAUCCCAAACCUAUCUCUGCAUUUUGUUUCUCUCUCUAGGGAAUCACUGCUGAGAAGUAGUCCCACAGCUUUCUACCUCACCCAAAUGCACGUGGGGUGUGGUUGAUUGCUGGGCCUUGCUUCACAGCUGUGAGGUUCCAGCAAUCACCACAUUGUCCUUGAAUAGGGCUGCUCUGAGCAUCAGAAGGUUAGCACUCUCUUCUGUGUGCAGAGAAGCACGUAGGGGAGACAGAGGAGCCACCACUGGAGCUCAUACCAAAUGCGUUCGUAGUUGGAGGGGGACUAAGUCCCCUCUGCUGAUCCAGGCAGAAGGGCCACCUGCCUUCAGACGCUGACCGGCUUCCCUAGUGCUUGAUGUUGGCACCCUCCUCAAGCUCC